UCAUUCUGUUUCUUAUUCACAUGCUAUUACAUUUAAGGUUCAGGUCAGGGCACUCCACCAAAGAGAAAAAGAGUGACACGCAGCCACUUUC